CGGAUCUCUCGGUGACUGGACUCUCUCUCUCCGUCUCGCCUGUGGCGCCGGUUGUUGUUUAGCGGGGGGCUUUGACACGUUGACGAAAGAAACAUGACAGGGACUGGGGGAAAAACGACCCGGAAUUAGUCCUCAAUUAAGGUGUACCAGCAGAGCAUAGGCAGUUACCAGCACCCGAGAAAAAGACAGCUGCUUUUUGCAAUAAAUACAAAACAUGUCAUUUCUGAACAGUGAAGGUAUUACGGCGGAUUCAUCUUCAUCCCUCUUGUAACAAAAGCUGUUCAUCUUAAAACAAUACACAAACUGGGUAAAAACCAAAACAUCUGUAUCGUUUCACUGAGUAAAGUUAAUG
rnacentral:lncRNA from 1 species